rnacentral:rRNA from 1 species
UACGUAGGGUGCAAGCGUUGUCCGGAAUUAUUGGGCGUAAAGAGCUCGUAGGCGGUCUGUCGCGUCUGCUGUGAAAAUCCAGGGCUCAACCCUGGACCUGCAGUGGGUACGGGCAGACUAGAGUGCGGUAGGGGAGAUCGGAAUUCCUGGUGUAGCGGUGAAAUGCGCAGAUAUCAGGAGGAACACCGGUGGCGAAGGCGGAUCUCUGGGCCGUAACUGACGCUGAGGAGCGAAAGCAUGGGGAUCAAACAGG